AAAAAAAAAUGCAACUACCUUCAUCUCUGCUGCAGACGCAAAUAGAUUUGCUGUGUAUGUUUGUCAGCACAACAUCACUGGGUAAAACUUGUCUCAUUUUCCCUCUUGAUGAGCUCUUUGUGGCAAGACCAGAACAACGGCCAUCUUUAGAGUUUACAAAUCCUCCCACAGAUUUCUACUCAGGAUUCCUUGAGCGCCACGUCUCUCUCGCGUAUCUGUGCUAGCACGUUCCCGCCUCUUUACUUAUUUUGUUGUGAUACUUUCUGGUGUAACCAGGCUUUUAUAGUAUCCAUUACUCAAUUACAAGUAAAUAUGAAAGAAAUGCUAUGAAUAUGUGGAAUACUUUGAUUUAAUUACAGUAUCAGUUCAUUCUUUUUGUGGGCUUUUUCUCCUUUUCCCACCAGAUGCAUUUACUAGUCACUUUGGAACAGUGUUUGCACAAGCUUACAUGUCUACAAAUUGAUGUCUGUGAUUCUGCGUGCGUGCAUGCGUGGAUGUCCAACUGCUUGUUCUCUAUGUGGGUGUUUGUGUUCUUCGUGUGUGCAUGUCAUUUAGAUGGAGAGAGGGGGACUGAGAGGUGAAAAAAGAAAGAAAGAGGGGGAGAGAGAGCUUGGAGGCGGGUUGGAUCUGAUUACGGGCUGGAAUGGCUGGGAGGGUUUGCGGUGGAGCGCUUUCUCAAUAGUGCAUUCCUAUGUGCGUGCCGAGGCAGGAUCAGCAGCUCCACUCUGGCCUCUGCCAGAGGGAUUGAGCAAAAAAAAAAAAAAAAGGAAGAAAAAAAAGAGAAAAAACAAAGGACGUCGUCAGAACAAACAGCUUGUCAGGACUCACAUUUAGUGGGCUCUUGCUAAAUAGCAGGAUAGAAGAUGAGUCAUUCACACAUCCAGUGCCAGCCUCCAUCAUACUGGAACAUAGUUUUAACAGGCCUCCUGUGUUAUAUGAGGCCUGCUGAUAUUGUUGAAGAUAGGACCAGGAUGGUGUGUAUUGUUUCUGAAUGCUCAGUGGAUGCUGAAUUUUACAUGCCCACUGAAAGUGUCAGCAAUGAGUGGAGUGACCUUUAAAGAAGGAAGCUGACUUUUUUAGACGCCCAAUGGUUUGCUUGGGCCAAAAUUGUGUGUAUGUGUGUGUGCGCUCCAGCAGGAAACUUUUGACAACUGUAGAAAUCAGCACUUUAGUCAACACCUGUAUGCUAGCGUGACCCCUCACUACAGGAAAAUUCAAAGACUCACCUGCUCUGUCAGGGAAAAUGCUAAAUGUCGCCAAUGGGCACCUGGCAUCACAUGCACAUGCUCACACACAUGCACCCACACAAACACCACUUAACAAAUCUGACCUUUGCCUGUCGGUUUCUUGGUCUAACCGUCUGGUUUGCUGUUUUGUCAGUUAACGCCAGACUGUUUCUCUUCCUGUUUCUCCAGAUUCACCACUUUCUCUCUUCUCCUUUCACACACACGCACAUACGCACACUUUCGAGUGCUUCCUGUGCAUCAGGUUCAGAUUUUUGACACAACUCAGUGAGCAACGCAGAGGUUCCCAUGCCUAAAACUGAUAAGGAGGC
ensembl:lncRNA